ensembl:ncRNA Y48C3A.25 ncRNA
GGACGAUGGCACAUUUCAUCUCGAAUUCGGAACGUUUGACGGUAGUCGAAGAGUUCCAACAUGUGAAUGGAAAAUAUCAAAAAUAUUUGGCACGCGAGGAU